rnacentral:rRNA from 1 species
GCUGUCUUUCGGUGAUGCACUUACCAGAUUAAGUGAACCGCCUGGGGAGUACGGUCGCAAGAUUAAAACUCAAAGGAAUAGACGGGGACCCGCACAAGUGGUGGAGCAUGUGGUUUAAUUCGAAAAUACGCGAAGAACCUUACCUAGCCUUGACAUUGAUUGAACACUUUAGAGAUAGAGUGGUGCCUUUCGGGGAACAUGAAAACAGGUGCUGCACGGCUGUCGUCAGCUCGUGUCGUGAGAUGUUGGGUUAAGUCCCGCAACGAGCGCAACCCUCGUCCUUAGUUGCCAGCAGGUUAAGCUGGGCACUCUAAGGAGACUGCCUUCGUAAGGAGGAGGAAGGUGAGGACGACGUCAAGUCAUCAUGGCCCUUAUGGCUAGGGCUACACACGUGCUACAAUGGGGCGUACAGAGUGUUGCGAUACCGCGAGGUGGAGCUAAUCACUUAAAGCGUCUCUCAGUUCGGAUUGGAGUCUGCAACUCGACUCCAUGAAGCUGGAAUCACUAGUAAUCGUAGAUCAGCAAUGCUACGGUGAAUACGUUCCCGGGUCUUGUACUCACCGCCCGUCAC